CAACAGAGAGGCUUUGACAGGUUGCAUCUCCCCAGAAGACACCGAAACAAGGAUUUCAGUGCAAGUUGUUUCAUGGGAGACUUCAAGAAGCAUCAGGGUCGAUCCCAGCACUUUGGGAGGCCAAGGUAGGAGAACUGCUUGAGCCUGGGAGUUCGGGACCAGCCUGGGCAACAGAGUGAGACCUCAUUUCUACAAAUAAAAAAAUUAAAUUAAAUUAAAAAAUAGAAGCAUCAACAAGAGAGUAGAGAAGAGAUACAGGGGAGAGACGGAAACCAGUGGAGGAUGUGAUCUUGAGCAGCUCCUCUUGUGGGCGACUGGGCCUCAAGCUCCCUGGGGGGCUCUCGGAAUUGAUGAAGAACCAGUCUCAGAGUCUCUUUCUUGAAGAGCGAGGAAGCUGAGGCAUUUGAUCACUAACUCCUUCUAACUUGUCCUCAUCAUUGGCUGACAGCUACUCCCAGGGGUAGCAGCUCCCUGGAAUUUCUGACUUGCCUUGUGAGCAGCAUCGGCUGCCUGUGGGAUGCAGGAGGAGUACAGGGGACUGUGGGCACGGCACUGACGGCGUCCGCAGCACUCGUGUCACCUUCUACCGACAUCUUUCAAUGGCUCCUGGCCAACUGGCAGCAGAAUUUUACCUUCCUGUGCAUGAAUGACCUUGGAUAUUAUUCUUGGUGGCAUGACUGGACACCUGCAGCCUCUUGAUGUUUCCAGUCAAAAAGGUAUUUAAGAGCCAUUUGUCAGGCGGACCACUUGAGCCCACGAGUUUGAGGCCAGCCUGGGCAGCAUAGUGGCACGCUGUUUCUAAAAAACAAAACAAAACAAAAACAAAACAAACAAACAAACAAACAAAAAACGAAAGAAAGGAAGAAAGAAAGAGAAAAGAGCAGUAAUAUCUUCAUCACUGGUCAUUGGUCAUUGUCUUUAAAACAACUUUCCAUCGAUAUCUUCUGGGGAGAACAAGAGAGCACUAGUGUCAAAACUUCAACCAGCUUGGAAGAAAAUUCUGGAGAUAAGAGAGCAAUAAUUUUUUAGGUUGAAUCACAUAAGUUUGCCAUCUUUUGGUCAAAAACAGUCUAAUGAGCAAUUUCACUUGGUUCCACUUACAAGAAAAGUUCCAUCUCUAACACUCUUGAUGGGACUGUGUGCAGAAAUAAGGGCAUUGACAAGUCGGAAUUAAAACAUAAUCUAGAAGGGUUGCAUUCUGAAUAUAAAAAGUUUUAGGAAUAUUUAAACCAGUUUGUUUUACUUAUAUUUUCCUUCUUUAUACAUAUGACAAGAGUAAUAUUUUUUAAAAAAUUAUUUAAAGGCCUAUUCAUAGCUUGAAAAAAAAUUCUUGCAGUAAAAGCAUUUGCAAAAAUAUGAAAUAAAAUUUGACAUGACAAGGAAGCAUUAUAUCAUUAAUUGGCAGCUUUUCUUCCUUAGUGACGUAAAAUAAUGACAUCAUAACAAUCAAGGAGUGUCUCAGAUUUUGUGAAAUAUGAUUUAUCCCGCCAUGGACCUCAGAGGCAGAGAGUGAGGUUGAUCAUAAUUCUUGGUUUCAGGUCAUAUUUUCACCAAUGGUUUGUGCUAGACCUAUCUCUGAUUUUGUCAUUGAAUAUUGGGUGAUAAUUAUCUCAGUCAUAUAGAUAAUAGAAGUGAGAAAUGGGGAUAAGAGGGAAAAUU
rnacentral:lncRNA from 10 species